rnacentral:lncRNA from 1 species
AUGGAGGUAAACAUUUAUCGGAAUCCUCGCUGCAAGGGAUGCAGAUGGCUAGUGUUCGAGACCUUCAUCUGCGGCGCAGGAGGAAAGGCAGUUACUGGGUUGAAUAACAAGUACCCGAAACGUCUUUGGCGUAUAGACAACGGCAUCCACACGUGUACUCGUCUGUCCACGAAGACCUGCGCAUUUACGUGCGUAGAAGUGAGGAGAUUCAAUACGUGGAUUCAGAGGAGUAUGUUUGGCUGGAGCAUAGCCGAGGUUCCUGGGGUCUAUGGACUGGGGCUGCUCAGAGACGAGGGGCCAUCGACACCGCAGGCAGAGAAUCUGGCUCUGGUGACCCCUUCCUUCUUCCUUCCCUUCCCUACAUGUUCCCCAAGAGCCUCCCGUGUGUGCAGCCCAGUCCUGGAAGCUGGGGAGACGCCAGGGGUCAACAAGUCUUUGUGCUGAUCCUGAAGGCACAGUGGGGAGGAAGAGCAUUAGAAAGUAAAGAAAUAAUGAUAAAACAGGGUACGUUGUCUGCUCAGGGUGUCCAAAUUGUUUAGUGGGUCUGGAAUGCAAAUUUGACAGGGAAGCUGGGAAAGUGGCCAGAGCUGGAGAAGCACAGCAGGGAAAGAUCCUUCUGGGCCUUAUAUCACACUCUCAGGUGUUGGAAUGUUCCUGAGGGCAGGAACGAGUCCCCAGGGGCUCAAAACAGGGAGGCCCUCAGCCUGCCGCUCACACUUACAGGGCCCCCAACCCACUCCCCACCUUUCUUCACCCCAGUGUCUGUCCCACUUGGCAGACGUAUGCUCUCCUCAGCCCGUGUACUAGUCCACGCAAACCCUACUCCCAGGCAACAAGCCGCUCCUUGGCCAUACCUCAGGCCUGGUGGUGUGUGCAGAGCUCAUGGCUCUGUCUGCAGGAGAAUGGAUGUGAGGAGGG